rnacentral:rRNA from 1 species
AGCUUGCUCCCGGAUGUUAGCGGCGGACGGGUGAGUAACACGUGGGUAACCUGCCUGUAAGACUGGGAUAACUCCGGGAAACCGGAGCUAAUACCGGAUAGUUCCUUGAACCGCAUGGUUCAAGGAUGAAAGACGGUUUCGGCUGUCACUUACAGAUGGACCCGCGGCGCAUUAGCUAGUUGGUGGGGUAAUGGCUCACCAAGGCGACGAUGCGUAGCCGACCUGAGAGGGUGAUCGGCCACACUGGGACUGAGACACGGCCCAGACUCCUACGGGAGGCAGCAGUAGGGAAUCUUCCGCAAUGGACGAAAGUCUGACGGAUCAACGCCCCGUGAGUGAUGAAGGUUUUCGGAUCGUAAGGCUCUGUUGUUAGGGAAGAAUAAGUGCGAGAGUAACUGCUCGCACCUUGACGGUACCUAGCCAGAAAGCCACGGCUAACUACGUGGCAACAGCCGCGGUAAUACGUAGGUGGCAAGCGUUGUCCAGAAGU